ACUGUUCCCUCGCCUCCUCCGAACGAAGCUUCACCAGGGACUGUCUUGGGCUCUCCUGGGAGAGGACUUCUUGGCUCAAGCAAACAGGGCCCCGGAAAGCCCGGCCCACGUUCCCCAGCCGGCUCCAAACCCGGGGCGCAGCGCAGCCGCAGGGGGGGAGCCGCCUCUGCCCACCGCUCCCCGGCCGGUGGAGCAGGCGCCUUCGUCCCACACUGCGGAGGCCGAGAGACGCGCGUGGCCUCUCUCCGAAAAUGCCGCAGACCUCACGCAACACAUCUGCGAACUCACCUGCGAGUCGGCCCCGUUUUCCGUCCAGUCCUGUUUCUCAAAGAUCCCACUCGUGUUACCUGAUUAAGCAAGCCAUAGCAUGAGCACAGAAUCCAGGAGAGAGGUUUUUGCCCUUGAACGGGCUAUUCCUGAACCUUCACCCAACUUUCCAGAUCCCACAGAGCACCUUACAGGAAGCACAGUGGUCACCUGUGGCAGAGAAUGAGACCCAUGCUCGCCAGACUCAAGAAGACUGAAUGAUGAAGAAAAGUGUUUGGACAAAGUAGGACUCGUCUCUACACCUGAGACAACGCAUAGCGAAAAAACUCAAAGAUGUUCUUCUACCUAGACAUCUCCUCCUCUGAUAACCAUCUGGCUUAAACAUAAUAUGACACCGGGGGCAGAACCUGGAGAGCUUCAAGGUCUGUCUUUAGGAGGAUCCUUGUCCACGUACAUGCUGUCUCACCCAUGCUACAAAGUGGGUUAACACAGGCUAUAAACUCACUAUCCAAAGUCACAGAGACUAUAAUGCAUGUAUAUUCCUUCCAACUGUGACUGGUUCUCUCUCUCCCUGCCUCUUAAUCUC